UACGUAGGUGGCAAGCGUUGUCCGGAUUUACUGGGCGUAAAGAGCGCGCAGGCGGUCGUUCAAGUCGCGUGUGAAAGCCCCCGGCUCAACUGGGGAGGGUCACGCGAUACUGAUCGACUCGAAGGCAGGAGAGGGAAGUGGAAUUCCCGGUGUAGUGGUGAAAUGCGUAGAUAUCGGGAGGAACACCAGUGGCGAAGGCGACUUCCUGGCCUGUUCUUGACGCUGAGGCGCGAAAGCUAGGGGAGCAACGGGG
rnacentral:rRNA from 1 species